CCGAGCAACGCCGGCGUGCAGGAAGAAGGUCUUCGGAUCGUAAACUGCUUUUCUCGGGGAAGAGAACGGACGGUUACCCGACGGAAGUAAGCCCCGGCUAAACUACCGUGC
rnacentral:rRNA from 1 species